AAACGUCUGUGCUCCUCCGUUUCUUAAAAGAAAUACAGCAGCUCAUACAGGUUCAAUCAUGUGAUAAAAGCUUUUUUUGCAGGGUGAACCAGGAAAACCUGGGCCUCCUGGUGAUGCAGGAUUGCAGGGGUUACCAGGUGUACCUGGAAUUCCUGGUGCAAAGGGUGUUGCUGGUGAAAAGGGUAGCGCAGGUGCUCCAGGGAAGCCUGGUCAGAUGGGAAAUUCAGGCAAACCGGGCCAACA
rnacentral:sRNA from 1 species